rnacentral:rRNA from 1 species
GUGUCAGCAGCCGCGGUAAUACGUAGGGCGCAAGCGUUGUCCGGAAUUAUUGGGCGUAAAGAGCUCGUAGGCGGUCUGUCGCGUCUGGUGUGAAAUCCCGAGGCUCAACCUCGGGCUUGCAUCGGGUACGGGCAGACUAGAGUGCGGUAGGGGAGACUGGAAUUCCUGGUGUAGCGGUGGAAUGCGCAGAUAUCAGGAGGAACACCGAUGGCGAAGGCAGGUCUCUGGGCCGCAACUGACGCUGAGGAGCGAAAGCAUGGGGAGCGAACAGGAUUAGAAACCCCAGUAGUCC